UACGGAGGGUGCAAGCGUUAUCCGGAUUCACUGGGUUUAAAGGGUGCGUAGGUGGGCAGGUAAGUCGGGUGUGAAAUCUCGGAGCUUAACUCCGAAACUGCAUUCGAUACUGCCGUGCUUGAGGACUGGAGAGGAGACUGGAAUUUACGGUGUAGCGGUGAAAUGCGCAGAUAUCAGGAGGAACACCGGUGGCGAAGGCGGUUCUCUGGGCAUUACCUGACGCUGAGGAGCGAAAGUGUGGGGAGCGAACAGG
rnacentral:rRNA from 1 species